rnacentral:lncRNA from 1 species
UGGCAGUCAUGCCCAUCUCGAUGGUUUGCACUCCCUCUCGAAGCAGCCACUAGCAGUCAGUUGCCACUGAUGCUACCUCCGAUAAUGUGCUUCUCCUCUAUCACAUCUCCGAUCUGAAAUCGCAAGCCAGAGAUCAUGACAACCACCGUAUACUUAUGAAGAACUCUCUCCAUAAGCAUGCAAGACAUCUCAUCACGAUA